rnacentral:rRNA from 1 species
GACGAACGCUGGCGGCGUGCCUAAUACAUGCAAGUUGAGCGCUGAAGGUUGGUACUUGUACCAACUGGAUGAGCAGCGAACGGGUGAGUAACGCGUGGGGAAUCUGCCUUUGAGCGGGGGACAACAUUUGGAAACGAAUGCUAAUACCGCAUAAAAACUUUAAACACAAGUUUUAAGUUUGAAAGAUGCAAUUGCAUCACUCAAAGAUGAUCCCGCGUUGUAUUAGCUAGUUGGUGAGGUAAAGGCUCACCAAGGCGAUGAUACAUAGCCGACCUGAGAGGUGGAGCGCCAAAAUUGGGACUGAGACACGGCCCAAACUCCUACGGGAGGCAGCGGCAGGGAAUCUUCGACAAUGGGCGAAAGCCGGAUGGAGCAACGCCGCGUGGGUGAGGAAGGUCUUCGGAUCGUAAAACCCGGUUGUUAGAGAAGAAAGUGCGUGAGAGGAACUGUUCACGUUUCGACGGUAUCUAACCACAAAGCCACGGCUAACUACGUG